rnacentral:rRNA from 1 species
AAGCAAAAUAAGUGAUAUGGAGCAAAACCCUAAAAACGGUACUCAGUUCGGAUUGAAGGCUGAAAUUCGCCUUCAUGAAGCUGGAAUUGCUAGUAAUGGCAGGUCAGCAUACUGCCGUGAAUACGUUCCCGGGCCUUGUACACACCGCCCGUCACACCAUGAGAGUUGGGAAUACCCGAAGCCUGUGAGCUAACUGUAAGGAGGCAGCAGUCGAAGGUAGAAUCAAUGAUUGGGGUGAAGUCGUAACAAGGUAUC